rnacentral:lncRNA from 10 species
AGGGGUCAGCCAAGCCAGUGGGAAGCCUACGACAUUCCCCUGGGUCACUUAGUGAACUCCUACUCUUUCAUCAGGCCUCACUUGAACAUGACUUCCUCCAGAAGCCUUCCCAGACAUCUUUGAGCUAGAAAGUCAGAAGAGUAGAAUUGGAACCCAGCUCAGUCUGAUGCCACAUCCUUUGUUGUUUCCAUUAAAUCAGAGAAUUUCUUAGUGCUGAGAAACUAUUCUGGAACUUACAACAAAGGCAAGUGGGAAGGGAGUCGCCUGGAAUUUGAUCUCUGUAGAUGCCUUUUUCAUUUAGUUUAUUUUUCAUUUUUAUCUGUUGCUUUGCUCUUAUCAAAUACAGAUAAAUAGCAGCUGCUACUGGUGCUGUUGAUUGCGAUUUCUGUUUGAAAAUGGAAUCUUGAGCAUCUGUUCUCUCCUUUUAUAUUUUACUGUGAGAGAAAAUCUAUUUUUUUCAAAAGGUAAUUCAUACACAUGGUAAAAAUUUAAACAAUAUAAAAACCUAUUUUUAAAAAACA